AACAUCGGAACGUGUCCUGUAGUGGGGGAUAGCCCGGCGAAAGCCGGAUUAAUACCGCAUACGAUCUACGGAAGAAAGCGGGGGAUCUUCGGACCUCGCGCUAUAGGGGCGGCCGAUGGCAGAUUAGCUAGUUGGUGGGGUAAAGGCCUACCAAGGCGACGAUCUGUAGCUGGUCUGAGAGGACGACCAGCCACACUGGGACUGAGACACGGCCCAGACUCCUACGGGAGGCAGCAGUGGGGAAUUUUGGACAAUGGGCGAAAGCCUGAUCCAGCAAUGCCGCGUGUGUGAAGAAGGCCU
rnacentral:rRNA from 1 species